ACGCCGGUAGCUCAACUGGCAGAGCAGCGGAUUCCAAAUCCGCAGGUUGAGGGUUCGAUUCCUUCCCGGCGUG
rnacentral:tRNA from 1 species